rnacentral:rRNA from 1 species
UACGAAGGGGGCUAGCGUUGCUCGGAAUCACUGGGCGUAAAGGGUGCGUAGGCGGGUCUUUAAGUCAGGGGUGAAAUCCUGGAGCUCAACUCCAGAACUGCCUUUGAUACUGAAGAUCUUGAGUUCGGGAGAGGUGAGUGGAACUGCGAGUGUAGAGGUGAAAUUCGUAGAUAUUCGCAAGAACACCAGUGGCGAAGGCGGCUCACUGGCCCGAUACUGACGCUGAGGCACGAAAGCGUGGGGAGCAAACAGGAUUAAGAAAC